UUCGGGUGGUGUGGAGCGGCC
rnacentral:miRNA from 1 species